GACGAACUCUGGCGGCGUGCAUAACACAUGCAAUUCGAACGGAAAGGCCCUGCUUUUGUUGGGUGCUCGUGUUGCGAACGUGUGAUUAACACGUGAGUUACCUUCCCUUGACUUUGGCAUUACUUCAGGAAACUUUUGCUAAUACCGGAUAGGUGCUCCUGCUUCAUGGUGGUGGUUGGAAAGUUUCGGCCGUUUGGGAUUGACUCGCGUAUUAUCAGCCUGUUGUUGGGUUAGUGGCUUCCCAAGGCUUUGACGGGUAGCCGCCCUGAGAGGGUGACCAGCCACAUUAGGAAUAAGAUACGCACGAGACUCCUACGGGAGGCAGCAGUAAGGAAAAUUGCACAACGGGCGGAAGCAUGAUGGAGCAAGGCAGCGUGCGGAAUGACGACCUUCGGGUUGAAGACCGCUUUGGACGGAGACGAAGCGUGAGUAACGGUAAUGGGUAGAGAAGGACAGGCUAAAUACGUG
rnacentral:rRNA from 1 species